GGCUCUGAGGACCUGGGUGCCUGGGGAGUGGGCGUGCCCCGGACCUCCGUCGUUUUUCACUCUUAUUCCCGCUGCGACUUUCGCUCGGUUCUCUUUUCAGUCUUAUUUACCCCUGCUGGCUUUAAAUGCAGACUGUUCCCUAAAACAUUCACCCGAGCUCAGGCGUCGGCUUUUCCUCCCUCGGACUUUCCCGCCUUCCUACUCCGCAGCGGCAUUGUAGCUGCCUGCGGUUACGGGAGACCUCUUCGCAAACUGCUCUCUGUAUUGGGGUCACAGGAGUGCUGGGUUAAAAGCAGUUGGCUUGCUAAGAUAAGAAAACCAAGGCACAGAGAGAUGAAGUAACUUGUACGAAGUCCAACAGCAAGUGGUGGACUCACCAUCAGAACCCAAGCCUUAGGUUCCAGAGCCACACACUUAGCCACUACGAUGAACUGCCUCCAGUUCAUCCGGUUAAUCCUAAAGUGACUGAAGACUCUGGCUUUAUGGUUGAGAGAUCCUACUCCUAAAGGGGACCGUGAACACUUCUGUCAGGUCCCAUUGAACUAGAAGCUAUGGCUGCUACCUGCACACUUCAAGCUCCUUGUGCCAAGGGAUCAGCAGGUGUUAAUCCAAAGUAUAUGCCUUAAUUAUAGCACACACAUCCUGUAUGCCAAUCUCCACCUCAGAGCCUGCUUCCUGGGGAAACACCUUCAAAACCAUCAAGGUAUCAAGACAUGUUGCUGAUGACCAACUGAUCUCUUUGAGGGAAGCAGUGAAUAGAUUGGUGUUCAGAUGUGCUAUCUUCAACUCACUGGGAAUUCCUUCCUUGAAGCACAGAGAUGGAAAUUUGCCAAAAUUGAUGCCAAUUUACUUUCCCACUUUACAUCACAACUCACAAAAUAAGUGUUGAAAAUUGUCUUUACAUAGAACAUGGAUUCUUCAGUGAUAAACCAUCAUCAGAUGGACUAUAUCUCAGUGAAAAGAGUCUUGUAGAUAAUGGUGAUGGCUGCACAACAUUGUAAAUGUAUUUAAUGCCACUAAAUUGUUUGCCUAAAAAUGGUUAAAAGUGGCAAUAUUUAUGUAUAUAUUUUUACCACAGUUAAAAAAGAUCAAUAA